rnacentral:rRNA from 1 species
AGAGUUUGAUCCUGGCUCAGGAUAAACGCUGGCGGCGUGCAUGAGACAUGCAAGUCGAACGGACGAGCUUGCUCGUUAGUGGCGGACGGCUGAGUAACGCGUAGGUGACCUGCCCCGAAGUGGGGGAUAACUGCCCGAAAGGGUGGCUAAUACCGCAUGUGGCGACACACUCAUUUGUGUCAUCAAAGCCGCGAGGCGCUUCGGGAGGGGCCUGCGUCCGAUUAGCUCGUUGGUGGGGUAAUGGCUCACCAAGGCGACGAUCGGUAGGUGGUCUGAGAGGACGAUCACCCAGACUGGGACUGAGACACGGCCCAGACUCCUACGGGAGGCAGCAGUCGGGAAUUUUGCUCAAUGGGCGCAAGCCUGAAGCAGCAACGCCGCGUGCGGGAUGACGGCCUUCGGGUUGUAAACCGCUUUUACCAGGGACGAUAAUGACGGUACCUGAUGAAUAAGUCACGGCUAACUACGUGCCAGCAGCCGCGGUAAUACGUAGGUGACCAGCGUUGUCCGGAUUUACUGGGCGUAAAGAGCGCGCAGGCGGUCGUUCAAGUCGAGUGUGAAAGCCCCCGGCUCAACUGGGGAGGGUCACUCGAUACUGAUCGACUUGAAGGCAGGAGAGGGAAGCGGAAUUCCCGGUGUAGUGGUGAAAUGCGUAGAUAUCGGGAGGAACCCAGUGGCGAAGGCGGCUUCCUGGCCUGUUCUUGACGCUGAGGCGCGAAAGCUAGGGGAGCAAACGGGAUUAGAUACCCUAGUAGUCC